UACAGAAUGUCCAUGACUUUCCCUUUUCUCCUCGAUCACCCUGUGACUUCCCCUACAAAUGCCAGGAUAAAUAGCCUGGGCUCCAAUGCAACAGGCACUUAAUGGGGAACUAGAAACCUGCUCAGGAACUGGGUGUGUUCAGAGGGAGCUGAGUGUUGUGUUUCCUGUUUCAGAGGGAGCUUCCCCUGGGGGGUCUCAGUUGGAUUAUGAUAACGCGGAGGAGCCUGCAUUGAAUGAUGACCCCCCAGACUCCAGACGACCAAGAGGGCCCUGCCUUGCCUGGAGAUGUCCCUGGGGAUAGUUAUGAUGAUGUCAGAGAAGUUUUUGACCCUGAAGAUGAUCCUGGUUCAGGGCAGUGUGCCUAGGAAGUUACUUGGGCCCCUCAGGAGAGUGACAGGAAUAGGGAUUUACAGAGAGGUGAUUGGAAUCUGCACUCCCUAAGAAAUGAAGGGGCCUCAGGGACUGAGAGAGAUGGCCCAUUCCCGCCUCCUGGAGACCCAGGUUAUGAUGACGUUGAAGCUGGCAUCCCUGAGACAUCAAUAUAAGAAUGACUGAGUUCCAAUCAAAUAUCAUGUGAGGAUGUAAAUGCUGUAUGAUUAGACUCUUUCUCUCCUAUAUUCUAACUGGGCAUGGGGGCAUAAGAGACAGUCCCUGCCAUUGAU